rnacentral:rRNA from 1 species
UACGUAGGGUGCAAGCGUUGUCCGGAAUUAUUGGGCGUAAAGAGCUCGUAGGCGGUUUGUUGCGUCGGCUGUGAAAUCCCGAGGCUCAACCUCGGGUCUGCAGUCGAUACGAGCAAACUAGAGUGUUGCAGGGGAGACUGGAAUUCCUGGUGUAGCGGUGAAAUGCGCAGAUAUCAAGAGGAACACCAAUGGCGAAGGCAGAUCUCUGGGCCGUAACUGACGCUGAGGAGCGAAAGCAUGGGGAGCGAACAGG